rnacentral:rRNA from 1 species
GAUGAACGCUGGCGGCGUGCCUAAUACAUGCAAGUCGAGCGAACAGAUAAGGAGCUUGCUCCUUUGACGUUAGCGGCGGACGGGUGAGUAACACGUGGGUAACCUACCUAUAAGACUGGGAUAACUUCGGGAAACCGGAGCUAAUACCGGAUAAUAUUUCGAACCGCAUGGUUCGAUAGUGAAAGAUGGUUUUGCUAUCACUUAUAGAUGGACCCGCGCCGUAUUAGCUAGUUGGUAAGGUAACGGCUUACCAAGGCGACGAUACGUAGCCGACCUGAGAGGGUGAUCGGCCACACUGGAACUGAGACACGGUCCAGACUCCUACGGGAGGCAGCAGUAGAGAAUCUUCCGCAAUGGGCGAAAGCCUGACGGAGCAACGCCGCGUGAGUGAUGAAGGUCUUCGGAUCGUAAAACUCUGUUAUUAGGGAAGAACAUACGUGUAAGUAACUGUGCACGUCUUGACGGUACCUAAUCAGAAAGCCACGGCUAACUACGUG